rnacentral:rRNA from 1 species
CCUAAAGCAUCCGUAGCUGGCUAAGUUAGUCCCUUGUUAAAUCCACCGAAUUAAUCGUUGGAUUGCGGGGGAUACUGCUUGGCUAGGGGACGAGAGAGGCAGACGGUAUUUUCGGGGUAGGGGUGAAAUCCUAUAAUCCCGGGAAGACCACCAGUGGCGAAGGCUGUCUGCUAGAACGCGCCCGACGGUGAGGGAUGAAAGCUGGGGGAGCGAACCGGAUUAGAUACCCGGGUAGUCCCAGCUGUAAACGAUGCAGGCUAGGUGUUUGGACGGCCACGUGCCGUUCUAGUGCCGCAGGGAAGCUGUUAAGCCUGCCGCCUGGGGAGUACGAUCGCAAGAUUGAAACUUAAAGGAAUUGGCGGGGGAGCACGGGGCGGGGGCGGCGGGCCGGGCGCGGGGCGCGGCGGGCG